rnacentral:rRNA from 1 species
AUGCCCGUGCUCCUCGCCAUCGUGGUCGCCCAUGUACGACCCGUAGUGGGAUUUCUGCUGCUGGUCGUGCUGGCGUUGGUGGUUCUCAUGGCUCUGUACGUUCUUCUUCUGCUGGACGUGUCCGCUUGGGGCGAGGUCACCGGGCAGUUCGCCCUUCAUUGGAUUUCCCUUCUAUUGCUUCUUCUCACAGUGAAGAUGGAUAUGCAUCGUAUGCUCGGGAGGCACGUCGCCGUCGACAAGAAAUCCGUAUGGGAAAGCGACCCGUUGACUGUACUCAGGGUUGGUUUACACUUAGGUGCAUAUUCGUUUACUUCCUUCAAUGAUGUACCAUCACUUCCAAUUUCUGAUUCUCAUUUUGGCCAAUUGAACGACAGUGAUGGUGUUGAGACUGGUGUCCAGGUGGUUGAGACAGUUGGUUGUGAGCCUGUUGACACUUCUGUUGAUGUGCCAUCUAAAAAUUCAACUCUUCAUGACCAUCAGUUUGGCGAUGAGUUGAUAGUUGUUCCUCCACAUGUUGUCCCUUUGUUGAGCAUGGGUCCUCAUGACAGGCCAACCCCUUUAGCUGAUGAAGUCAAAAGUAGAAUUAAUGUGUUUGAUUGUGAAGGCUAUAGUUCUCUUGAGCCUGAUCCAGAAACAGUAGCCAGCCUCAUUGAUAUGUUGAAUAGGCAUCAUCGUUUGGUACACAAAUAUAGAAUUGCUCGCCAAAAUUUGUCUUCUCCUGAUGGGCCAAAGGUUUCUAUCCGCUUCUUAGGAAAUAAUGGCGGGCCUCAUAGCACGCGUUUUUCUGGUCCAACGGCCUCUGAGGUGGCUGUUGUGAUUGUCGGUGAUCUUACUCCUGACCGCAAGAAAUUUGAUGUGGUUGUAGAGACACAUGUUGGUAUGUUGGAGCACGUAUCUUCUCUCAAUUCUAACCUUACGGCUCUACAAUACCCCUUGCUUUUUCCAUAUGAGGAUAAAAGUUAUCAUUUGGGUAUUAAAUAUGUCAACAAUGAUGAUGAUUCGUCCAGUCUGAAUGCACGUGGUGUUCUGUUUGAGGAGACACCUGAUACUGGUGCAAUUGUUCCUCGGCGUUCUAAAGUGCCACGGAGCCAUGUUUCUAUGUUGGAGUAUUAUGGUUACUAUCUUCAUUACCGUGAGGGGGAACCAAAUCCUUAUACCAGUUGUGGGCGACUCAGUCAACAGCUGGAUAAUUUACGAUCCGAGGCUUACCAGGGAAUAUCUGAUGCAAUUGGAGAAGGUAGUUCUACUGGAAAGAAUGUUGGUGUGCAAUUUAUACUUCAUGGAAGUUUCACUGGUGGGCGUCGUUAUAUGGUUUUGAAUUAUCAUGAUGGAAUGGCUAUUUGUCGUGAAUAUGGUGCUCCAGAUUUACUCAUCACUUUCACAUGUAAUCCAAAGUGGCAAGAAAUUAUUGAUGCUCUUGCUUCCGAGCCUGGACAGGUUCCUGCUGAUCGACAUGAUAUAUUUACACGAGUUUUCAACAUGAAGUUUGCUGAAUUUCUAACUGAUGUGAAAAAUGGUUCGCUUUCAGGCCUAUUCAAGCAUAAUUUCAGAAGAGAGGUCUUCCUCAUACUCAUCCGUUAG